rnacentral:rRNA from 1 species
UACGUAGGGGGCAAGCGUUGUCCGGAAUCAUUGGGCGUAAAGCGCGUGUAGGCGGCCCGGUAAGUCCGCUGUGAAAGUCGGGGGCUCAACCCUCGGAUGCCGGUGGAUACUGUCGGGCUAGAGUGCGGGAGAGGCGAGUGGAAUUCCUGGUGUAGCGGUGAAAUGCGCAGAUAUCAGGAGGAACACCGAUGGCGAAGGCAGGUCUCUGGGCUGACACUGACGCUCAUGCACGAAAGCGUGGGGAGCAAACAGG